rnacentral:tRNA from 1 species
GGAUUGUGACUCAGUGGUAGAGAGCUCGCCUAGCGCGCACGAGACCCGGGUUCGAUUCUCAGCACCA